GUAAUGCAUAGGAAUCUGCCCGGUAGUGGGGGAUAACCUGGGGAAACCCAGGCUAAUACCGCAUACGUCCUACGGGAGAAAGGGGGCUUCGGCUCCCGCUAUUGGAUGAGCCUAUGUCGGAUUAGCUAGUUGGUGAGGUAACGGCUCACCAAGGCGACGAUCCGUAGCUGGUCUGAGAGGAUGAUCAGCCACAUCGGGACUGAGACACGGCCCGAACUCCUACGGGAGGCAGCAGUGGGGAAUAUUGGACAAUGGGGGCAACCCUGAUCCAGCCAUGCCGCGUGUGUGAAGAAGGCCCUCGGGUUGUAAAGCACUUUCAGCGAGGAAGAACGCCUAGUGGUUAAUACCCAUUAGGAAAGACAUCACUCGCAGAAGAAGCACCGGCUAACUCCGUGCCAGCAGCCGCGGUAAUACGGAGGGUGCAAGCGUUAAUCGGAAUUACUGGGCGUAAAGCGCGCGUAGGUGGCUUGAUAAGCCGGUUGUGAAAGCCCCGGGCUCAACCUGGGAACGGCAUCCGGAACUGUCAGGCUAGAGUGCAGGAGAGGAAGGUAGAAUUCCCGGUGUAGCGGUGAAAUGCGUAGAGAUAGGGA
rnacentral:rRNA from 1 species